rnacentral:rRNA from 1 species
AGUGAACGCUGGCGGUAGGCCUAACACAUGCAAGUCGAACGGCAGCACAGUAAGAGCUUGCUCUUACGGGUGGCGAGUGGCGGACGGGUGAGGCAUACAUCGGAAUCUACUUUUUCGUGGGGGAUAACGUAGGGAAACUUACGCUAAUACCGCAUACGACCUACGGGUGAAAGCAGUGGAUCUUCGGACCUUGCGCGAUUGAAUGAGCCGAUGUCGGAUUAGCUAGUUGGCGGGGUAAAGGCCCACCAAGGCGACGAUCCGUAGCUGGUCUGAGAGGAUGAUCAGCCACACUGGAACUGAGACACGGUCCAGACUCCUACGGGAGGCAGCAGUGGGGAAUAUUGGGCAAUGGGCGCAAGCCUGAUCCAGCCAUGCCGCGUGGGUGAAGAAGGCCUUCGGGUUGUAAAGCCCUUUUGUUGGGAAAGAAAAGCAGCAGGUUAAUACCCCGCUGUUCUGACGGUACCCAAAGAAUAAGCACCGGCUAACUUCGUG